rnacentral:rRNA from 1 species
GUCCACGCCCUAAACGAUGAAUACUAGAUCUUGUGUCCUUCGCGGCACGGGGUCCCAGCGAAAGCGGUAAGUAUUCCACCUGGGGAGUACGCUCGCAAGGGUGAAACUCAAAGGAAUUGACGGGGCCCGCACAAGCGGUGGAGCAUGUGGUUUAAUUCGAUGAUACGCGAGGAACCUUACCUGGCCUAGAAUGCGCGUGACCGGCUCAGAGAUGGGCUUUCCCUUCGGGGCACAAAGCAAGGUGCUGCAUGGCUGUCGU